UACGUAGGUGACCAGCGUUGUCCGGAUUUACUGGGCGUAAAGAGCGCGCAGGCGGUCGUUCAAGUCGAGUGUGAAAGCCCCCGGCUCAACUGGGGAGGGUCACUCGAUACUGAUCGACUUGAAGGCAGGAGAGGGAAGCGGAAUUCCCGGUGUAGUGGUGAAAUGCGUAGAUAUCAGGAGGAACACCGGUGGCGAAGGCGGAUCUCUGGGCCGAUACUGACGCUGAGGAGCGAAAGCGUGGGGAGCGAACAGG
rnacentral:rRNA from 1 species